UACGGGGGGGGCAAGCGUUGUUCGGAAUUACUGGGCGUAAAGGGCUCGUAGGCGGCCAACUAAGUCAGACGUGAAAUCCCUCGGCUUAACCGGGGAAUGGCGUCUGAUACUGGAUGGCUCGAGUUUGGGAGAGGGAUGCGGAAUUCCAGGUGUAGCGGUGAAAUGCGUAGAUAUCUGGAGGAACACCGGUGGUGUAGACGGCUUGCUGGACCAUGACUGACGCUGAGGCACGAAAGCGUGGGGAGCAAACAGG
rnacentral:rRNA from 1 species